CAUUAAGAAGCUAAGCUAGCGUUAACCUUUUAAGUUAGAGAUUGGGAACCAUAUGUACCCCUUAA
rnacentral:tRNA from 1 species